rnacentral:rRNA from 1 species
CCAGCUCCUACGGGAGGCAGCAGUGGGGAAUAUUGCGCAAUGGGCGAAAGCCUGACGCAGUGACGCCGCGUGAGGGAUGAAGGUUCUCGGAUCGUCAACCUCUGUCAGAAGGGAAGAAAUUAUAUCAUGCUAAUCAGUGGUGUAUUGACGGUACCUUCAAAGGAAGCCCCGGCUAACUACGUGCCAGCAGCCGCGGUAAUACGUAGGGGGCGAGCGUUAUCCGGAAUUACUGGGCGUAAAGGGCGCGUAGGUGGGCGCUUAAGUCAGGUGUGAAAACUCCGGGCUCAACCUGGAGACUGCACUUGAAACUGGGUGUCUUGAGGGCAGGAGAGGAAAGUGGAAUUCCUAGUGUAGCGGUGAAAUGCGUAGAUAUUAGGAGGAACACCAGUGGCGAAGGCGACUUUCUGGACUGUACCUGACGCUGAGGCGCGAAAGCGUGGGUAGCGAACGGGAUUAGAUACCCGGGUAA